rnacentral:rRNA from 1 species
UACGGGGGGAGCAAGCGUUGUUCGGAUUUACUGGGCGUAAAGGGCGCGUAGGCGGCACCGCAAGUCGACUGUGAAAUCUCUGGGCUUAACCCAGAGGCUGCUUCCAAAACUGCUGUGCUCGAGUGUGAGAGAGGCUCGUGGAAUUGCAGGUGUAGCGGUGAAAUGCGUAGAUAUCUGCAGGAACACCCGUGGCGAAAGCGGCGAGCUGGAUCACUACUGACGCUGAGGAACGAAAG